ACCUGGGUAGCUCAGUGGUUGAGCAUCUGCCUUUGGCUCAGAUCAUGAUCCCAGGUC
rnacentral:tRNA from 1 species